CCCGACGGGUGCAGCAGGCGCGAAAACUUUACAAUGCGGGCAACCGCGAUAAGGGGACCUCGAGUGCUGGGUUACAAACCUGGCUUUUGGGUUGCCUAAAAAGCAGUCUAUAGCAAGGGCCGGGCAAGACCGGUGCCAGCCGCCGCGGUAAACACCGGCGGCUCGAGUGGUAACCGCUAUUAUUGGGUCUAAAGGGUCUGUAGCCGGCCGACUAAGUCUCUUGGGAAAUCUGGCAUCUCAAGUGUCAGGCUGCCAGGGGAUACUGGUCGGCUUGGGACCGGGAGAGGUGAGAGGUACCUCCGGGGGUAGGGGUGAAAUCUUGUAAUCCUCGAGGGACCACCAGUGGCGAAGGCGUCUCACCAGAACGGAUCCGACGGCAAGGGACGAAAGCUAGGGGCACGAACCGGAUUAGAUACCCGGGUAGUCCUAGCCGUAAACGAUACUCGACUAGGUGUCGGCCACGGUGCGACCGUGGUCGGUGCCGUAGGGAAGCCGUGAAGCGAGCCACCUUGGGAAGUACGGCCGCAAGG
rnacentral:rRNA from 1 species